rnacentral:rRNA from 1 species
AAUCCAUAGGUUAAUGAGGCGAACCGGGGGAACUGAAACAUCUAAGUACCCCGAGGAAAAGAAAUCAACCGAGAUUCCCCCAGUAGCGGCGAGCGAACGGGGAGGAGCCCAGAGCCUGAAUCAGCAUGUGUGUUAGUGGAAGCGUCUGGAAAGGCGCGCGAUACAGGGUGACAGCCCCGUACACAAAAGCGCAUGUGCUGUGAGCUCGAUGAGUAGGGCGGGACACGUGGUAUCCUGUCUGAAUAUGGGGGGACCAUCCUCCAAGGCUAAAUACUCCUGACUGACCGAUAGUGAACCAGUACCGUGAGGGAAAGGCGAAAAGAACCCCGGCGAGGGGAGUGAAAAAGAACCUGAAACCGUGUACGUACAAGCAGUGGGAGCACCCUUUGGGUGUGACUGCGUACCUUUUGUAUAAUGGGUCAGCGACUUAUAUUCUGUAGCAAGGUUAACCGAAUAGGGGAGCCGGAGGGAAACCGAGUCUUAACCGGGCGUUAAGUUGCAGGGUAUAGACCCGAAACCCGGUGAUCUAGCCAUGGGCAGGUUGAAGGUUGGGUAACACUAACUGGAGGACCGAACCGACUAAUGUUGAAAAAUUAGCGGAUGACCUGUGGCUGGGGGUGAAAGGCCAAUCAAACCGGGAGAUAGCUGGUUCUCCCCGAAAGCUAUUUAGGUAGCGCCUCGUGAAUUCAUCUCCGGGGGUAGAGCACUGUUUCGGCUAGGGGGCCAUCCCGGCUUACCAACCCGAUGCAAACUGCGAAUACCGGAGAAUGUUAUCACGGGAGACACACGGCGGGUGCUAACGUCCGUCGUGAAGAGGGAAACAACCCAGACCGCCAGCUAAGGUCCCAAAGUCAUGGUUAAGUGGGAAACGAUGUGGGAAGGCCCAGACAGCCAGGAUGUUGGCUUAGAAGCAGCCAUCAUUUAAAGAAAGCGUAAUAGCUCACUGGUCGAGUCGGCCUGCGCGGAAGAUGUAACGGGGCUAAACCAUGCACCGAAGCUGCGGCAGCGACACUGUGUGUUGUUGGGUAGGGGAGCGUUCUGUAAGCCUGUGAAGGUGUGUCGUGAGGCAUGCUGGAGGUAUCAGAAGUGCGAAUGCUGACAUAAGUAACGAUAAAGCGGGUGAAAAGCCCGCUCGCCGGAAGACCAAGGGUUCCUGUCCAACGUUAAUCGGGGCAGGGUGAGUCGACCCCUAAGGCGAGGCCGAAAGGCGUAGUCGAUGGGAAACGGGUUAAUAUUCCCGUACUUGGUGUUACUGCGAAGGGGGGACGGAGAAGGCUAUGUUGGCCGGGCGACGGUUGUCCCGGUUUAAGCGUGUAGGUGUGUGUUCCAGGUAAAUCCGGUUCACUUUAACACUGAGGCGUGACGACGAGGCACUACGGUGCUGAAGCAACAAAUGCCCUGCUUCCAGGAAAAGCCUCUAAGCAUCAGGUAACAUCAAAUCGUACCCCAAACCGACACAGGUGGUCAGGUAGAGAAUACCAAGGCGCUUGAGAGAACUCGGGUGAAGGAACUAGGCAAAAUGGUGCCGUAACUUCGGGAGAAGGCACGCUGACACGUAGGUGAAGUGAUUUACUC